GGGAGAUAUUCACGAAAAGAGUUAGAGAGAAAAUACCAAGACUUGGGCAAGCAAGUGUUAAGCAGCAAAGACACACCUGACUGGAAGAAUGUUGAAGAAAACCUGCAACGAAUAUACAAUGAAUAUGAAAGUGUAGCUAGAGAGGAACAUGACAAAUGGCUUGAAGAGACGACCCCAAAAG